GCGCCUGUAGCUCAAUUGGAUCAGAGCAUUUGCCUACGGAGCAAAAGGCUGGGCGUUCGAGUCGCCCCAGGCGCA
rnacentral:tRNA from 4 species